rnacentral:sRNA from 1 species
GAAACAGGCGGAUCUCUACAUUUCUGAAGGCCUUCAUCCCAGAAUAAUCACUGAAGGAUUUGAAGCUGCAAAGGAAAAGGCCCUUCAGUUUUUGGAAGAAGUCAAAGUAAGCAGAGAGAUGGAUAGGGAAACACUUAUAGAUGUGGCCAGAACAUCUCUUCGUACUAAAGUUCAUGCUGAACUUGCAGAUGUCUUAACAGAGGUAUGUAUGAAAUUUUGUCUGUCUGGUAUAGCACACCUAUAUAGAAAAUCUCUGAUA